AGGAGUCACGCGCGCUAGGUCUUCCUCCCCCAUUCUUUCCCCAAAACGAGCCGCCGCUAGGUCUCCAUCCCUUCUCCCCAGAUCCAGUUCUCUCCGAAAGCCGCCAGCCCGAUUUGAUGCCGAUCUGCAGCAAGUAGAUGGCCGCGGAGCUGGUGCAGACUGUGUCUAUGCUCUCAGCGCCCCUCAUCAGCAGCCGCUUUCCCUCGUCUUCCACGUCAUGUACCUCCGCCGCAAGCGUGCCGCCACCCCUCCCCGCCGUGAGUUAGUGACAGGAGAGAAAGACCCAAAUCGCGACGACAAGCACUUGGUGAGGUCCGCGUGCACCGGAUCCGUCGUCCCCCACCGCGGGAUGAGCCAGGGAAUCCCGACCGCCGUUUCUUCCCCCCUUCGCCAACCGAGGAUCUGCAUCCAUGAUUCCUUACAUGCCCGGUUCCACCACCAUGCCUCUACCAUUGACAAGAAGAAAACAUGGAUUGCCAUCCGAAGUCCCAGCUGCAAUCGAGCCAAGCGCGCAACAACCUGUUGAAGAGAAGAAGUGUUAGGGAGGAUGGCGUUUGGGAGCGCCACCGAUGGUAGCCAAUCGUUGAGCACUUGAAAAAGGAGACACCAAAUGGAAAUGGGGCAGUUUCUAAUCUCAUCUCAGUCCCUUUUUCUAUCUGUAACUAUAUAUUACAUGGCAUACUUUUUUAAUAUAUACUUGUCAUGUCCCUGAUGGCUCUUUUUGGAAAAUGCAGUAUGUGUGUCGCCGUGGCCAUGUCACCAUAUCCGUGCUUUUUAGGUUGUAUAUACAGAGAUUAAGACCAUGACUUUCUUUUGUGAAUUGUGCAGACUAAAAUAAUCUAUCAAAACUUAGUUAGAUUUCGGGUGUCAAAUUGGCAAUAAACCAAUAUAAUGUUGUUGGUGUUGUAUAAACUCUCAAACAGUACAAAGGGGUUACUCUAGGGUACUUUGAUAAUUUCUUCUUGCUUUCUAUUCCCUCUAUAAACUAAUUAUAUUUAUAUUAGUUUACAGAAGGAGUAGUUUUUUAACAAGUUAUGUCAUCAUCUUUCAGCCCUUGAAAAUACGUAUCAUACUAUGACAUUCUUCUAUUUGAAAUUUCUAAAAGAGCUUGCUACAAAAUACUUAGCUGAUUCUCAUCACUAUUUUCAAGACCAUGAUAUCACCUCAAAAGUUUCUGCCUGAUAUUUGAAGAUGGAGCCUGCUGCAGGUCUUGAACGGGUGUUUGGGGCCUUUUUCAAUCGGACUGGAACUUGUGCACUAAGUAGUAUGGUUAACAUGAUGCUGAUGUUCAGUGAUGUUGCAAACUCCAACUAAUACUUGGCUUGGCCUAUAACAAUUAUGUACUGUACAUGCUAGUUGAGAUGUUCAAUUGGUUAGCUGUAGCAAACUCUAGCUAGCUACACUAUUUUUUUUGACAAAGAUGAUAUGGUUGGUGAUGUUUUGCAUUUGAUGUAUGCAUGUGACGGUUGAUAUCCGGAGAUAUCUAUAUUGAUUAUGUGGUGUUUC